rnacentral:siRNA from 1 species
AUAGUCAGAUCUAAAUUAUGGUGU